UACGGAGGGUGCGAGCGUUAAUCGGAAUUACUGGGCGUAAAGGGUGCGUAGGUGGUUGAAUAAGUUAUCUGUGAAAUUCCUGGGCUUAACCUGGGCAGGUCAGAUGAUACUGUUUAACUCGAGUAUGGGAGAGGGUAGUGGAAUUUCCGGUGUAGCGGUGAAAUGCGUAGAGAUCGGAAGGAACACCAGUGGCGAAGGCGGCUACCUGGCCUAAUACUGACACUGAGGCACGAAAGCGUGGGGAGCAAACAGG
rnacentral:rRNA from 1 species